rnacentral:rRNA from 1 species
UACAGAGGUCUCAAGCGUUGUUCGGAUUCAUUGGGCGUAAAGGGUGCGUAGGUGGCGCCGUAAGUCAGGUGUGAAAUUUCGGAGCUUAACUCCGAAACUGCAUUUGAUACUGCGGUGCUUGAGGACUGGAGAGGAGACUGGAAUUUACGGUGUAGCAGUGAAAUGCGUAGAGAUCGUAAGGGAAGACCAGUGGCGAAGGCGGGUCUCUGGACAGUUCCU